rnacentral:rRNA from 1 species
AGCAGUAGCCGCGGGAAAACGUAGGUGGCAAGCGUUGUCCGGAAUUAUUGGGCGUAAAGCGCGCGCAGGUGGUUUAAUAAGUCUGAUGUGAAAGCCCACGGCUCAACCGUGGAGGGUCAUUGGAAACUGUUAAACUUGAGUGCAGGAGAGAAAAGUGGAAUUCCUAGUGUAGCGGUGAAAUGUGUAGAGAUUAGGAGGAACGCCAGUGGCGAAGGCGGCUUUUUGGCCUGUAACUGACACUGAGGCGCGAAAGCGUGGGGAGCAAACAGGAUUAGAGACCCCUGUAGUCCCUGUCUCUUAUAA